AGUCGAGGGGCAGCACGGGUAGCAAUAUCUGGUGGCGACCGGCGCACGGGUGCGUAACGCGUAUGCAAUCUACCUAUUACUGGGGAAUAGCCUUCCGAAAGGAAGAUUAAUGUCCCAUAAUACUACGAAGAGGCAUCUCUUUGUAAUUAAAGCUCCGGCGGUAAUAGAUGAGCAUGCGUGACAUUAGCUAGUUGGUGAGGUAACGGCUCACCAAGGCUACGAUGUCUAGGGGCUCUGAGAGGAUUGUCCCCCACACUGGUACUGAGACACGGACCAGACUCCUACGGGAGGCAGCAGUAAGGAAUAUUGGACAAUGGUGGCAACACUGAUCCAGCCAUGCCGCGUGAAGGAUGAAGGCCCUAUGGGUUGUAAACUUCUUUUGUACGGGAAGAAACCUCCGAACGUGUUGGGAGCUGACGGUACCGUAAGAAUAAGGAUCGGCUAACUCCGUGCCAGCAGCCGCGGUAAUACGGAGGAUCCAAGCGUUAUCCGGAUUUAUUGGGUUUAAAGGGUGCGUAGGCGGCUUUGUAAGUCAGUGGUGAAAUCCUAUCGCUUAACGGUAGAACUGCCAUUGAUACUGCAGAGCUUGAAUAUGUUUGAAGUGGGCGGAAUGUGUAGUGUAGCGGUGAAAUGCUUAGAUAUUACACAGAACACCGAUUGCGAAGGCAGCUCACUAAACCAUUAUUGACGCUGAGGCACGAAAGUGUGGGGAUCAAAACAGGAUUAGAUACCCCGGGU
rnacentral:rRNA from 1 species